AGAGUUUGAUCCUGGCUCAGGACGAACGCUGGCGGCGUGCUUAACACAUGCAAGUCGAACGGAAAGGCCCCCACCUUGGUGGGGGUGCUCGAGUGGCGAACGGGUGAGUAACACGUGGGUGAUCUGCCCUGUACUUCGGGAUAAGCUUGGGAAACUGGGUCUAAUACCGGAUAGGACCAUGGUUUAGUGUCUCAUGGUGGAAAAAUUAUUGUUUUGGUGCAGGAUGAGCUCGCGGCCUAUCAGCUUGUUGGUGGGGUAAUGGCCUACCAAGGCGUCGACGGGUAGCCGGCCUGAGAGGGUGGACGGCCACAUUGGGACUGAGAUACGGCCCAGACUCCUACGGGAGGCAGCAGUGGGGAAUAUUGCACAAUGGGCGCAAGCCUGAUGCAGCGACGCCGCGUGGGGGAUGACGGCCUUCGGGUUGUAAACUCCUUUCGUUAGGGACGAAGCCACACCUUUUUUUGGGUGUGGUGACGGUACCUUUGUUAAGAAGCACCGGCUAACUACGUGCCAGCAGCCGCGGUAAUACGUAGGGUGCGAGCGUUGUCCGGAAUUACUGGGCGUAAAGAGCUCGUAGGUGGUUUGUUGCGUCGUCUGUGAAAUUCCGGGGCUUAACUUCGGGGUGGCAGGCGAUACGGGCAUAACUAGAGUGCUGUAGGGGAGACUGGAAUUCCUGGUGUAGCGGUGGAAUGCGCAGAUAUCAGGAGGAACACCGAUGGCGAAGGCAGGUCUCUGGGCAGUAACUGACGCUGAGGAGCGAAAGCAUGGGGAGCGAACAGGAUUAGAUACCCUGGUAGUCCAUGCUGUAAACGGUGGGCGUUAGGUGUGGGGACCGGUUUGGUUUCUGUGCCGUAGCUAACGCAUUAAGCGCCCCGCCUGGGGAGUACGGCCGCAAGGCUAAAACUCAAAGGAAUUGACGGGGGC
rnacentral:rRNA from 1 species